GGCGCAGUGGCGGAGUGGUCUAACGCGCAAGACUAGAAUGCAUUCUGCGAUCUUGUUCCUUCGGGAGCGUCUGUUCGAAUCAGGCCUGCGUCG